rnacentral:lncRNA from 1 species
UGAUAUAUACAGCGGACUGUCACCUAUGCCAAAACUGCUCUUCGUUGAGUCUGCUUAGAACGAUUUUGCUGUAACUGCCUGUACUUCCCAGCGAAUUUUUGUUUACAGUUAACAAGAACGUUGCAAACUAAUUAUAAUCAUGAAUUGCAAAUCUCAGAGCUCACGCGCAAAAGAACAAGCUCUCAUUAAAAACUUUGGAUAAAUCUACAUAAGUUCAGGCGCUUGUGCUCGCGCCGCGAACAAAGGUAUAAGUGCGAAAACUCAUUCUUUUUCGCGCGCGAUUAAUUUAUGUUGCAGUUAAGAUCAACGCAAACAAAAGCUAACAAAGAGCAUACACACACAUACAUCAGUGGCACACACGAUUCAUUGUAAUAAUUUUUCCAUGUCAAAGAAUCGAUUAAGAUUUUUCGAAUCUCCCGCUCGACCAUACGGCUUCAUCCCGCAGUUAGCGAAACCCUUUCUUUUUCCAAUUACGGGCAACACGCGCUGUGCGAAGAAUAAAAGUGAAAAGAAAUAAAAGCGCAGGUCAAGCAUACUUAAUUUUUUCUCCCGAUCCUGCGGUUAUUCGAUGUUAAUGACAUUUGACUUAGCCUUAUUCUCAUAUGUACAGCUGUGUACAAUGUACAUGCAGAGCAAUUCACGCUGCAUCGAUACUAUUAUACAUAGGUGGCUUGUUUUUGAUAGAGACAGGGUUUAUUGUUCGCCGCUCGAUAAAGACAACAAAGAAUUUCGCGAAACCGUUGACGCGCGAAGUGUACGCAUUGUUAUCGCGCGUCACAUCGAUUUUCGAAGCGUGAUAAUUUCCAUCAAGCGGCCGUUAUGUGCCGGAAGUUUGUGAUAACGUGGGAGUACCAAAGAUCAUCGAAUCAAUGAUAGUAAAUGAAAGCGAAAAAAUGCAAAGAGCGCGUGUAGCUCUAUAUAAAUAUAUCUCGCUCUCCAUUGUGAUUUCUUUUCUUCGCCACGUGUAAUUACGGGCUAAUUUAACAUACGCGAUUUUUUCCGGCUUGUUUACGAAACUACUUUAAACGGUUUAAUUUAUCCGGAGUGAUUAUUACAUUAUAUGAAGUUAAUUUAUCAAAUAAUUAUAUCGAGUGCAUUAAAAACUGUAUAAAAGUACAAAAAUCUUUGAAGAAACGUUAAAUUGAAAUCUACGCUGUUAACGUGAUAUUUCAGAAAGAGUUUUACUCGCUGAAUAUUAGCUCAUAUUUAUGUCUGCGAUGAUAAAUAAAUUUCAAUUUUUGAAAAUUAUCCAGUAUUUGCACAAAGUAAAUGCAUUAUGCGUUCUAACGCAUAACAUAACGACGCUUACGAAAUAAGCGGGACAUUUUAGAAUCACGAUCACAUCAUUAUUUAAUUUUAUUAUAACAAUCGCAUCCUCUAGUGCAUUUUAUAAUGAUCGUCUUUCAACAGAGCCUGAAAACGCAGUGUUGGUGUCGUGCAAAAAUGUGGACCAAUUUCGUUACGAGAGAGAAAACGCAUAACACGUCAAACGUGACACGUUCCCGACGUUUUCAACCAUGUGAGACGCACAAUGUAAUCGUACACCUCGGCAAAACAAGUGAGAAAGUCUUAAUUAACGGGAUUCAAACCGUCGCUUCAUUGACUUCUGGCAGAAUUCUUGCAUUAAUUUGCGAUGAUCAACGCGUCCUGCCAUUCAAUUUUAAAAGAAUUUCACUUGACAGUUGUGAAUCAGUUUAAUUAUGGAUUGAAGAAACCCCACAUUUUCAGCUAAUUAAAUUAUAGCGAUUCUAUCUUCAGUUCAAACACAAAUCCCCUCGUCAAUUCGUCGCCGCGCUAUUAUGCGCUCGAUGCGCACCGCUGAUUUAUAAAGUCAAUAUUGGCUGGUGAAGGUGUCGCUUAACCUUGACCCGCGCGCUCGCCGUUAGAUAAAGGUCAUUAUGUACCGUAUAGUCAGCAGUUUUGCGGUCGUUGUCUCGUCGCCGCUGCUGCUGCUGUAUGUCGCGCGUCAUCUCUCCUUAAGAGUCUAUAAACUGCGUGUGCCCUGCUGAGAGAUCAUCGCCUCGCCGCGCGGCGAAAGCCGCUUACUUUCUCGGCUGUGUUUUUUCCACUCCUUUCCUUUUACCUGCAGCUCGGCCAGGUAGUCACUUUGUAAAACGAUCGUAAUUUAUGCCCGUAAUCCCGCAUUCAUUAUCCAACGCGCUCACAUGUGCUCCGGCUAUGCGCAUUGAAGCUCACUGCCGCUGGAAUAAAUAAUAUGAUAUGUACUUAUGCUUUUGCGCGUGCAACAAAGCGCGAUUCGUGAUAUAUCGGUCGAGCGAGCGAGUUUCGCCGAAUCUGUCAUUCUGGUUUUUCUUCUUUCUUCUUUCGCGUCGGUGGGACUUCGUGUACGCAUACGUACGAAAACUCGUUUCGAUACAAAUUACUCAAUGUUUUGCAAGAGUUUGCAUCGCAGGCUUUUUUUACUUCGCCGGGCAGUAAAAUGUUGGUUCGCGCGAAAUCGACUGGCAAAUAUGUUUUCGCGAAUUAAUAGCUCGUAUUUAGCUUUGCUUGUGCGCUCACCGCGCCGGCUUGCGGACUUAAGUUAUUUGAAAUAUUCAAUGAAUGUGCACUCGUUCUACUCAAAAUUUAUGCACCUGGCGAAAUAGCUGCUUUCGUUUGGAUUUUUUUACUUUCCUUUUGAUAUAACUCACCAAUAUUGAUCUGUUGUUUACUCUAUUAGAAAAAUAAACUGAGCAUACCGGUUCAUUUGGAAUUAUGUGAAAAGGAUUUAAUGAACGUUUAUGUUUUGAAACUGCGAAUUUUUAGAACAAAGCAUACAUUUUUAUUGUUUAGUUUUAACGUUAGUUUAAUUAUUACCGCACUUGCAAUGUCUCGUAAGUGUCUGAGUUAUGCUACAAAAAAGUGUCCCAUUAACCAUUGUAAUAGUGCGUUGAGAAACGAUGACAAUGACAUUCUUAUAAAAGCAAUUAGCAUAUUUAUUGAAUUAUUAACUUUAUGGAUUUGCGAUAAUGGUGAUGUUAAAUGAAACAAUUAUCUUAUAAUAUAAACACAUAUAACAUACUUCAUUAAUGGAUUAAUGAGUAAUAUUAAGCAGAGUUAAUGAUUUUUUGAAUUUGGAUUUUAUGGAUUUUAUUUUACUUCCACCCGCGAGUUCGAUGUGUCAUUAAAUCAUUAACUUUUCAAUCAUGCGCCAUUAAAAAUUGCUCGUAUACUUUCACAUUUUUCUCAUUUUAAAGUAGAAUCGCUUCCUGUUAAAUAUAACAGUUAUUAAUAUUGGAUAAUUUUUCAGCAUUAUAAUAAAUGUAUUUAUCUUUUUUGUGAAUUGAUGUGUAAAAAGUCUAUAGUUAUGUACAAUACCUGAUAUGGUAUGUCACGGACAAGAUAAUCAUAGGUUGGUUGUGUAAUAAAUAAUUUUAAACUUCUUCCUUGUAUCGAGUAUACAGUAGAAUUUGCCCGAAGUUAUGGUUUUAAUACUUUUUGAUAAAUUUUUAAAGUAUAUAUUUGAAAAAAUUUUAAAUAUUAAUUAUGAUACGAAUUUAAAAAAACAUAACAAUCGUAGAAACAAAAGAUGAUGAAUCUUAUCAAGACAUUGACGAUGGUGAAAGGCGCGGUCAUUACUAAAUGGUGUCGUAUAGGUGUGCAAGAUUUCUCACUUAUAGAAUGCUACUUAACGCAGGAAAAGUCGAUUUUACAGCUGCUCAUCAAGUUGCUUGUGACAAAAUAACAUCGCUUAUAGUGACACACAUAUAAUUAAAAUUGUCAUGUUCUAAAAAUAGUACAAAGCUUCCAUACUUUCAUACGGUAUUUUAUAUCAUACUUUAUGGAAAAAAAAUAUAUAUGAAAAAAACGAGGUGUUUGCAACCAACGCCUGUCAGGCACAACCCACCAUACACUUCCGUACAUGUGGUUGCAUCGAAUGCAGGGGAACUCUUGAUUCACAGUUUCACUUACGUUUGUACAUUCACAUUAUCAAUUGUUGCGAAGGAUCUGGUGCUUUAUCGUCGAGAGGGGUAGAAGAUUAAGAGUCUGAUUGAGAUAAAAGUGUACAGAUUAUUAUGAAAAUUGAAAAUUACAAUAGGAUCAGAAUUCAUUUGUGCUGGUACUAAGCAGUUGCAACAUGAGUGGUCCAAGAAGUAGGCCCAACAAGGCAAUUUGCAAUCGAAGACAAAAGAAACAAAGAUUCGUCGACUUUUCUAAUCGUGUCUACAAAAUUAAUAUUAACGUCAACCUGUAAUACUACUUGCCAUUUAAUGUGAUUAUUGGAAAAGUACGGUGCAACUAAAUCA